rnacentral:rRNA from 1 species
CUGCAUUCGAAACUGGCAGGAUAGAGUCUAGUAGAGGGGGGUAGAAUUCCAGGUGUAGCGGUGAAAUUCGUAGAGAUCGGGAGGAAUACCGUUGGCGAAGGCGGCCCCCUGGACAAAGACUGACGCUAAGGUGCGAAAGCGUGGGGAGCAAACAGGUUUAGAUAGCCUGGUAGUCCUCGCCGUAAACGAUGUCGAUUUGGAGGUUGUGCCCUUGAGGCGUGGCUUCCUGAGCUAACGCGUUAA